CCUACGGGGGGCAGCAGUCGAGAAUCAUUCACAAUGGGGGAAACCCUGAUGGUGCGACGCCGCGUGGGGGAAUGAAGGUCUUCGGAUUGUAAACCCCUGUCAUGUGGGAGCAAAUUAAAAAGAUAGUACCACACGAGGAAGAGACGGCUAACUCUGUGCCAGCAGCCGCGGUAAUACAGAGGUCUCAAGCGUUGUUCGGAAUCACGGGGCGUAAAGCGUGCGUAGGCUGUUUCGUAAGUCGUGUGUGAAAGGCGCGGGCUCAACCCGCGGACGGCACAUGAUACUGCGAGACUAGAGUAAUGGAGGGGGAACCGGAAUUCUCGGUGUAGCAGUGAAAUGCGUAGAUAUCGAGAGGAACACUCGUGGCGAAGGCGGGUUCCUGGACAUUAACUGACGCUGAGGCACGAAGGCCAGGGGAGCGAAAGGGAUUAGAUACCCCAGUAGUC
rnacentral:rRNA from 1 species